AUGGCAGGUCCGUGGCCGAGAUCGCUCCACUCGUUCUCGCUCUCGUCCCCAGGCGCAUUCGAAAAGAACAUUGCAUGCGUGACGGCCUGCACCAGCGCUCUUGGGUGUGGGACAUUAGAGGCGCGCUUGGGCAUUGUGCAGUACGUCGAUCUAUGGCGCCUGGUGCGGCACACUCAGCUCACCAGCGAGCCGGACAUGCUAUGUUGGCAUUGGACUUCUUCCGCUACAUACACUGCAAGUUUUUGCUACAAGGCUCUGUUCAUUGGAACUUGUGAAGAUCCUUUCCGGCGGCUCACUUAGCUACCUUGGGCCCCUCUCUGUGUCAAGUUUUUCUCAUGGCUGGCCUUGCAAGACCGCUGCUGGACCGCAGAGCGCAUCGCACGCCGUGGACAACCACAUGAUGAUGCAUGCGCCCUUUGCGACCAAGAGGAGGAGACCAUGCACCAUCUCCUUGCCGGAUGUUCUUUCUCACGACAAGUUUGGCACGAGAUCCUCGGUUGGGCACGUGUGCCCAUCGGCCUAACCUCCCCUGACACACCAUUCCAGCUCUGA
rnacentral:rRNA from 1 species